rnacentral:rRNA from 1 species
UACGGGAGGCAGCAGUGGGGAAUAUUGCACAAUGGGCGCAAGCCUGAUGCAGCCAUGCCGCGUGUAUGAAGAAGGCCUUCGGGUUGUAAAGUACUUUCAGCAGUGAGGAAGGUGGGUAUGUUAAUAGCAUAUUCAUUUGACGUUAGCUGCAGAAGAAGCACCGGCUAACUCCGUGCCAGCAGCCGCGGUAAUACGGAGGGUGCGAGCGUUAAUCGGAAUUACUGGGCGUAAAGCGCAUGCAGGUGGUUUGUUAAGUCAGAUGUGAAAGCCCGGGGCUCAACCUCGGAAUUGCAUUUGAAACUGGCAAACUAGAGUACUGUAGAGGGGGUAGAAUUUCAGGUGUAGCGGUGAAAUGCGUAGAGAUCUGAAGGAAUACCGGUGGCGAAGGCGGCCCCCUGGACAGAUACUGACACUCAGAUGCGAAAGCGUGGGGAGCAAACAGGAUUAGAUACCCUGAGAG